CUCUGAUCCUUCUGCCUCCCUCUUAUAAGAGACCCUUGUGAUUACAGUGGACCUACCCAGAUCAUCCAGGAAACACUGCCCAUCUCCAAAUCCUUAACUUAACCAAAUCUAUCAAGUCCCUUUUGUCUGACUUAAAGGCCACAAUUUGGAAUUUGGGGAAAAAAGGAAAGAACUAAAACAUGCUGGAUUAUAACAAUUAUAAGAACUAAAUCUAUGCCAAGAAAAUUAGUACUCAGAGGAAUUAGAGAGCUUUGGUAAGUGUAUGCUGCUGCUGCUGCUGCUGCUAAGUUGCUUCAGUCGUGUCCGA
ensembl:lncRNA